AAAAGCAAGGCUAAUGUAACCCAAGUGAAAUGUUGAGUUCCAUUUUUUUGGUUCGCUACUAUUGCCCUCCAAAAUCUCGCGGUAGUUGAUUAUAUAACUGCAAUUCUCGCGAGAUUUACUAAACAGCCAAUCAUUGUUGAGCGUCUGAGUCACAUGUACCACCGUCAGCUCAUUUGUUGGGUAUAUUAGCUGGAGCAAAAAGCAUGGAGGAUUAGAACAAGUUUGGGAGAGCAGAGCUGCAGGAGUCUCCGGUCGUAAGCUGAGGGAUAAGAGAAACACAAAACCGCUUGUAUGCCUUAUGAACUGCGGAAUUGGCCAGGUUCGAUGGCGAGCUGAAGAAUCAGGUCCAAGAGCCUAAAGGAUUUCACCUGUGGUGUUAAGAUUUGGUUUCCCCACCAGGCUGGUGGGAGGCUUCCUGCAGCCCAUGAACAAAAUUGUUUCCACUCUGAUCUGACUUUUGUCAGCAUAUGAACUGUAACAGGCGCUCUAAACUCACCUGACCCUGUUGAACCGCCUCAGUUCAGUUUUCAGGAGUUUUAUGAACUGAAUGGUGUGGCUUGUUACUGGAACUGUGGAACUGAUUUGUUUUUUUUUUGUUAAUUUAAUUUGUUUUCUUUGUGUACUAUUUCCUUUUAUUUUAAUAUGGCCAUUUAAAUGUUUUUUUUUUCCUUUCUUAUUGUAAUGUAAAUAAUUAAUCACUGUGAAUACAAGGCACUCACAUCUGCAACUUCUAGUCUGUCUACUCCUUCCUGAGCCGUACCUAGACUUCUAAGAACUAGCCCAUUGACUUUGUUGGUCAUGAUCUAUUUUUAAUUAUCUAGAAAUAUAGUAUACUGGUUACACAGAUAUGCUACACUAAUAAU